rnacentral:rRNA from 1 species
GGGUUGUGAGGUUAAGCGACUAAGCGUACACGGUGGAUGCCCUGGCAGUCAGAGGCGAUGAAGGACGUGCUAAUCUGCGAUAAGCGUCGGUAAGGUGAUAUGAACCGUUAUAACCGGCGAUUUCCGAAUGGGGAAACCCAGUGUGUUUCGACACACUAUCAUUAACUGAAUCCAUAGGUUAAUGAGGCGAACCGGGGGAACUGAAACAUCUAAGUACCCCGAGGAAAAGAAAUCAACCGAGAUUCCCCCAGUAGCGGCGAGCGAACGGGGAGGAGCCCAGAGCCUGAAUCAGUGUGUGUGUUAGUGGAAGCGUCUGGAAAGGCGCGCGAUACAGGGUGACAGCCCCGUACACAAAAAUGCACAUGCUGUGAGCUCGAUGAGUAGGGCGGGACACGUGGUAUCCUGUCUGAAUAUGGGGGGACCAUCCUCCAAGGCUAAAUACUCCUGACUGACCGAUAGUGAACCAGUACCGUGAGGGAAAGGCGAAAAGAACCCCGGCGAGGGGAGUGAAAAAGAACCUGAAACCGUGUACGUACAAGCAGUGGGAGCAUGCUUAGGCGUGUGACUGCGUACCUUUUGUAUAAUGGGUCAGCGACUUAUAUUCUGUAGCAAGGUUAACCGAAUAGGGGAGCCGAAGGGAAACCGAGUCUUAACUGGGCGUUAAGUUGCAGGGUAUAGACCCGAAACCCGGUGAUCUAGCCAUGGGCAGGUUGAAGGUUGGGUAACACUAACUGGAGGACCGAACCGACUAAUGUUGAAAAAUUAGCGGAUGACUUGUGGCUGGGGGUGAAAGGCCAAUCAAACCGGGAGAUAGCUGGUUCUCCCCGAAAGCUAUUUAGGUAGCGCCUCGUGAACUCAUCUCCGGGGGUAGAGCACUGUUUCGGCAAGGGGGUCAUCCCGACUUACCAACCCGAUGCAAACUGCGAAUACCGGAGAAUGUUAUCACGGGAGACACACGGCGGGUGCUAACGUCCGUCGUGAAGAGGGAAACAACCCAGACCGCCAGCUAAGGUCCCAAAGUCAUGGUUAAGUGGGAAACGAUGUGGGAAGGCCCAGACAGCCAGGAUGUUGGCUUAGAAGCAGCCAUCAUUUAAAGAAAGCGUAAUAGCUCACUGGUCGAGUCGGCCUGCGCGGAAGAUGUAACGGGGCUAAACCAUGCACCGAAGCUGCGGCAGCGACGCUUAUG